rnacentral:RNase_P_RNA from 1 species
GGAAUAAGCUGACCUACCGCUGCGGUUUCGGCCGAAGAGGAAAGUCCGGGCAGCAGAGAGCAUCGUACUUCCUAACGGGAAGGCAGCAAGCCGGAGACGGAAUGCUGACAGCAAGUGCCACAGAAAUUAUACCGCCCUGGCAUGUUUUUUAUGUGUCACGGUAAGGGUGAAAUGGUGGAGUAAGAGACCACCGCUCGUUGGGUGACCAACGAGGCAGGGUAAACCUUACGAGCUGAAAGAUCAAAUAGGUGUCAAUCCGUGGGGCUGCUCGUCCCCGUCUUUCGGGACAUUGACACGGGUAGAUCGUUAGAGGUUCCAGGUGACUGGAAUCCUGGAUAAAUGGUAGGAGCUUAACAUUGGCUUGCCAAUGAAGAGUAACAGAAUCCGGCUUACAGGCUUAUCCUUUUU